CCUACGGGAGGCUGCAGUGAGGAAUAUUGGUCAAUGGGCGCUAGCCUGAACCAGCCAAGUAGCGUGAAGGAUGACUGCCCUAUGGGUUGUAAACUUCUUUUAUAUGGGAAUAAAGUGCAGUAUGUAUACUGCUUUGCAUGUACCUUCUGAAUAAGGAUCGGCUAACUCCGUGCCAGCAGCCGCGGUAAUACGGAGGAUCCGAGCGUUAUCCGGAUUUAUUGGGUUUAAAGGGAGCGUAGGCGGGUUGUUAAGUCAGUUGUGAAAGUUUGCGGCUAAACCGUAAAAUUGCAGUUGAUACUGGCAGCCUGGAGUACAGUAGAGGUAGGCGGAAUUCGUGGUGUAGCGGUGAAAUGCUUAGAUAUCACGAAGAACUCCGAUUGCGAAGGCAGCCUACUGGACUGUAACUGACGCUGAUGCUCGAAAGUGUGGGUAUCAAACAGGAUUAGAUACCCGUGUAGUC
rnacentral:rRNA from 1 species